rnacentral:rRNA from 1 species
AUUGAACGCUGGCGGCAUGCUUUACACAUGCAAGUCGAACGGUAACAGGGAGCUUGCUCCGCUGACGAGUGGCGAACGGGUGAGUAAUGCGUCGGAACGUGCCGAGUAGUGGGGGAUAACGCAUCGAAAGGUGUGCUAAUACCGCAUACGAACUGAGGUUGAAAGUGGGGGACCUUCGGGCCUCACGCUAUUCGAGCGGCCGACGUCUGAUUAGCUAGUUGGUGAGGUAAAGGCUCACCAAGGCGACGAUCAGUAGCGGGUCUGAGAGGAUGAUCCGCCACACUGGGACUGAGACACGGCCCAGACUCCUACGGGAGGCAGCAGUGGGGAAUUUUGGACAAUGGGCGCAAGCCUGAUCCAGCCAUGCCGCGUGUCUGAAGAAGGCCUUCGGGUUGUAAAGGACUUUUGUCCGGGAGCAAGUGCUGGUGGCUAACAUCCACCGGAGCUGAGAGUACCGGAAGAAUAAGCACCGGCUAACUACGUGCCAGCCGCCGCAGUAAUAC